UUCGAGAGGAAAGUGAUAUGAAAAACUGUAACUGGGAUUAAAAUGGGAACAUUUGUUAAAAAGAAUAAAUUGAAUAAUAGUUCCAAGUGGUUUACAUUUGGACAAAAAAUUAGAUCAUAACUUAAGUGUU
rnacentral:sRNA from 1 species